CACAUAGCCUAUAGUGACUGUAGUUUUGAUGUAAUAUAUAUUUGUUAUUUUACAUACAUAUAUCCCUUGGAACCUGGUAUAAAUAGCGGUUAUUGCAUUUUAGUUCUCCUGUAUGCUGUAUAAAUAUGCAUUGGAUAAUCCAAGACUGAAUAUUCUCUGCGAUUCUCUUCAGCUUGUUCUGUGUUGGUCAGUCUUUCUGUUGACAGUUUUGUAUUUAGGUCACACAGGAGCCCUCGGGCAGCAGUAAAGCAUGUCCUCUACAGGAGUGAUUGACACCUUCUCUGAUGGUGAAUGAAGUCUCCAGCUUCUCUGGGCUCCAGCCACAGUAAUAAACCAGCGCUGCACAAUGACGGUCUUCAGCCGCAGCGUUGUUAACGUCCCGUGGCUGUUCUCCAGUGAUGAGUCCAGAUGGAGGAUAUGUUGGUACCUGCCCUUCUAUUUCCAUUGCCAGCUCACUCCCUCCAGCCCCCGGUACACCUCCACGCCAUCUGUGCCAACCUGCAGUCUCUCCGUCAGACAGUUGCAGGUUCUGUGGUGCGUGGCAGGCCUACAGCUGUGCAGACAGCCAGCCCAACAUCUGUGUGUCCUGUGGGACAGACGGGGGGGAAUGUCCCGCUGAUCUUCUCAGCUGCUGCUGGCCUUAAACACAGGCAUGGGCCGGCAGUUCUGCGGACAGGAUGAGUUUUGCAAUUGCCCCGUUUUAUUGCAUUGUGCCUGUAGAGACCUGCUGGGCGUGGAUCGGUGUGGACAGCCAAUAGCAGGCCAGCAG
ensembl:lncRNA